GGCAGUUUUGGACAAAAUUGUGAGAAAAUGCCACAAUAUUGAAAGAGCUUUUCAUUAUGGGAUGUGCGGAGAGCGCGAAAAACGUGUUAUUGAAGAAUGCCUAAGAAAUUUGCAAAGAAUUUCUGAUUUACUUUCGGCGGACACUCACAACGCACUGAAAAACGGUUUAGAGGAGCUGAAAGUGCUACUAUCGACCGAUGUCCAAGCUGGAAAUAAUGAAUAUUCCGCAGCCCGGGCCAGUUCAGGUGGUCGAGGUAGACCAGCUAUUCAUAUUACAAGAGAUCAGAUCGACUUUCUUUUGGCCCAAGGACACACAGUCAAGAGGAUGGCAAACAUCUUUGGAUGCUCAACAUCAUUUCUUUAUAAGAAGUCCAAGGCACUUGGUGUACCAAUCAGGGGAAGGUUGGCUGCAGUGACUGAUGAAGACCUUGAAACUAACAUCAGACAACUUCAAUCCCUGUAUCCAAAUUCUGGGACUGAGAUGAUGCGAGGCUUGUUGCAUGCACAAGGACUAGUGGUUCCACGGCGUAAGGUCCGUGACAUGAUGGCUCGAAUCAACCCAAUGGCAACUGCAAGGAGGUGGAGCAGUGCAGUGUCUCGACGUGUCUAUCAUGUGCCAUAUCCCAACAGUUUAUGGCAUAUUGAUGGCA